CCUCCUCAAAGGCCAGGACGCACACACGGAACGGGAUCCGGCUGGCGUUGCUUUUAUAUCUGGUCUGCAUCUAGGAGGUGCUGCUUCUAUGUUCUUGGGCUAGCUGUUGCCUCUCAUGCCAGCGCCACUAUGACUGUUCAUGCCACAAGCACUUUGGGGACCUGAUGUUGCAGGAAUUUGUGUUACCACAUCACCAGCAAAUUAUCAAGUGCCAACCUUUUUUGCUGCAUCCUCCACUGCCAAUUCUGGACAGUUCAGCGUUCAGUCCAGCAGCAUGGAACAGUGACAGUCCAAGGAAGUGUGCUCAGUGGAGACCUGUAGCCAGAGGGGUGCCCUAAGGGUUUCCCCGCCCCCAUCCACAAUUGCUUGUUGUGCGUUGUCCUACUGAGCAUAAGUAAUGAAGAACGAAAGAAGUCUUCACAAUAUUACCCUUACAAUAGGAAAACAACACAAGUGCUUUGGGUAUCUGGAAGUUAUGAUAUUCCUUCUUCGUAUUUUAAAUUCCAGAUACAAAGCUGCCAAAAUAAAACAAAUUAUUUGCAAUUUUUGUUCACACAAUUUGUAGCAUGUCUGUCCCGUAUUUCACUUUAGGAUCAUGGGAAAAUAAAAUUCUAUUUUAGUAAAGAGGAAA